rnacentral:lncRNA from 1 species
GCAAUCAGACGCAAUACUCCUUAAUAUCGGAUCCCACCGCCGUGACCCUGCUCCGGAAGCUGGUGGUCCUCGCGAGGGCGUGCGGCCGCGGCGGAGACGUCCUGAGCAGGGCGCUCGCCCGAGUGGCGCAGAGCGGGAAACACGAUCAGAACGAAGAGUGCCUGUUGCUCGCCGCUCAGCUGUCGGCGCCGCGC